CCCUUAGAUGUUCUGGGCCGCACGCGCGCUACACUGACGAAUGCAACGAGCUUAUAACCUUGGCCGACAGGCCCGGGCAAUCUUUGAACGCUGGUCGUGAUGGGGAUAGACUUUUGCAAUUUUUGGUCUUCAACGAGGAAUUCCUAGUAAACGCAAGUCAUCAACUUGCAUUGAUUACGUCCCUGCCCUUUGUACACACCGCCCGUCGCACCUACCGAUUGAAUGGUCCGGUGAAGCCUCCGGAUUGGCGCGCACCUCGGUGCCGCCGAGAAGUUGGCUAAACCUUACCAUUUAGAGGAAGGUGAAGUCGUANCA
rnacentral:rRNA from 1 species